UUAUUAUGUUUUACUCUUCUGUCUCUAUGGAUGAGGAUAUCAAUUUUCAUUUAUAAAAAAAAAAAUUAUGUACGUUCAAUAAAUAAUAUAAAUGCAAUUUACAGUAAUAAUAUACCUAAUCGUAAAAUAGAGAUAACAUAUUAGAAUAGUUAGUAGCUUCUACGGCUUUAUGACAAAAUAUCUGUUUACUUUUAUACGUUUAAAUAGUGUUUAAAUAAUGCAAAGAUAGUAAAUAAUAAAUUACCAAAAACCAAAUAAAUGUUGAGAUAUUAAUUUUAUAUUAAGUCCUUUAUUAGUUGACGUAAACAGUUGAUAGAAGUCAAUUUUUUUACAUUUUACACAGAUUAUCCCACUCGCCGUCAAAAACAUCAAUGGUACAAUGAAAAAAUUUAAAAAUACAAUUUCCAAAUUCACGAUAAUAAAAACCUAGAUAAAGCUGGCUCGAGUAUCAAGACUAUCAACUAUAUUUUAUCAAUAAAUAAAUGGUGACAGAAAACCUAAAAUAUACUACAAGU